rnacentral:lncRNA from 10 species
CUCACUCAGCACUCACACAAACUGAAGGGCCCGGUCUCACUCCUACCGUGCCCCCCACAACAGCCCUGAGUCUGUUUCCAGGUGGUGGGCGAGAGGGGUUUGAAAAUUUGCCCCAGGCUAUCCGCCUCCCAGCUGGGCAAGAAAAGGGCGUGGUUGUUCCCCCACUGAGGAGUCUGCACACCGGAUUUGCAUCUUCCCCUGAGUUCUGGCCUGGAGGCUUCUCGCCCCUGCAAAUUGUUACAAAGUUCAGCUAGAGGGUUCCUUCUUCCUGUGGAGUUUUACCUUCUGCUCCUCUGGCCACCCUCCUGAUGGAUCCCUGUGGUGCCAGGCAGGAAUGACCUGCUUAAGGACCCAGCGAGCUCCCAGGACCUUUCUGCUGCUUCCUCUACCCGUAUAUUUUGCUUGCUUCUCUACAUUGACUCAGCUCCAGCGAUUCCUGAGGAAUCUCAUCCACACUACCCUAUGGACUAAAAGGAAAAGCUCUUCAUGUGGUGUUAGCACGGAGAUGAGAAAGAGAGAAAGACAACAUCAUGCUUUGCUGUCUGUGUGUGAACUGAGUAACAGCUGUGAAGGAUCAGUCACCAAAAGACUUUGAAAGAAGAGGCUUGAUUGGUCACGGUAAUGAUGCUCCCCUGACUUCACAAGGUUAGGAACAGGCUUCACUUCAUUGUGAUGUGUGUAAGGUGACAGAGGACAUAUAACGAAUACGUGGAAGAACUAGGAAUUUGACCUUAGCUUCCAGACAUUUUGAGGAGGAUACACUAUGUCCAUCUUGCUUUCCUAUCAAGAAAAGUAUACCCAGUUUGUGCAGUAGCCCUGUACCAACAGAUACAUUACAGCAGGUUGUUUCCGUAUUUUGGCUAUUGUGAAUAGUGCUGCAAUAAACAUGGAAGUGCUGAUAUAUCUUUGAGAUCUUGACUUCAAACAAAAGAAGAAAAUCUUGCAAUAUAUGACAACACGGAUUAACCUGGAGGACAUUGUGCUUAGUGAAGUUAGCCAGUCACAGACUGACAAGUACUGCACGAUUCCACUUAUGUAAGUUUUAUUUUUUUAAUUUUUUACUUCCAUAGGUUUUGGGGAACAGGUGGUAUUUAGUUAAAUGAGUAAGUUCUUUAGUUGUGAUUUGUGAGAUUUUGGUGGACCUGUCUCCCAAGCAGUGUACAGCGAACCCAAUUUGUAUUUUCCUAUCCCUCACCCUCCUCCCACCCUUUCCCUCCUGAGUCCCCAGGGUCCAUUGUAUCACUCUGCCUUUACAUCCUCAUAGCUUAGCUCCCACUUAGGAGUGAGAACAUAUGAUGUUUGGUUUUCUAUUUCUGAGUUACUUCAUUUUGAAUUAUAGUCUCCAGUUCCAUCCAGGUUGCUGCUAUGCCAUUAAUUCAUUCUUUUUUAUGGCUGAGUAG